rnacentral:rRNA from 1 species
UACGUAGGGUGCGAGCGUUAAUCGGAAUUACUGGGCGUAAAGCGUGCGCAGGCGGUUUUGUAAGCCAGAUGUGAAAUCCCCGGGCUUAACCUGGGAAUGGCAUUUGGGACUGCAAGGCUCGAGUGCGGCAGAGGAGACUGGAAUUCCGUGGUGUAGCAGUGAAAUGCGUAGAUAUCAGGAGGAACACCGAUGGCGAAGGCAGGUCUCUGGGCUGACACUGACGCUCAUGCACGAAAGCGUGGGGAGCAAACAGGAUAGAA